AAAAAAACCUCUCUCUCUCUCUCUCUCUCUCUCUCUCUCUCUAUAUAUAUAUAUAUAUAUAUAUAUAUAGAGAGAGAGAGAGAGAGAGAGAGAGAGACAGACACUGGGGAAACCUAUGGAAUGGAGAGGGAGGCUGAUCCUUUUUUUUU
rnacentral:sRNA from 1 species